rnacentral:rRNA from 1 species
AACGAACGCUGGCGGCGUGCUUAACACAUGCAAGUCGAACGGAAUUAGGGGCUUGCUCCUAAUUUAGUGGCGCACGGGUGAGUAACGCGUGGAUAACCUACCCUGGUAUCUGGGAUAACAUCUCGAAAGGGGUGCUAAUACCGGAUAAGCCCACGGUCUCCUCGGGGAUUGCGGGAAAAGAUGGCCUCUAUUUAUAAGCUAUCGUAUCAGGAUGGGUCCGCGUACCAUUAGCUAGUUGGUGGUGUAAUGGACCACCAAGGCGACGAUGGUUAGCUGGUCUGAGAGGAUGAUCAGCCACACUGGAACUGAGACACGGUCCAGACUCCUACGGGAGGCAGCAGUGGGGAAUUUUGCGCAAUGGGGGAAACCCUGACGCAGCAACGCCGCGUGAGUGAUGAAGGCCUUCGGGUCGUAAAGCUCUGUCAGAGGGGAAGAAGUGAUAGUGUGCUAAUACCACAUUAUCUUGACGGUACCCUCAAAGGAAGCACCGGCUAACUCCGUGCCAGCAGCCGCGGUAAUACGGAGGGUGCAAGCGUUGUUCGGAUUUAUUGGGCGUAAAGCGCGUGUAGGCGGUCUUUUAAGUCUGAUGUGAAAGCCCCGGGCUCAACCCGGGAAGUGCAUUGGAAACUGGGAGACUUGAAUACGGGAGAGGGUAGUGGAAUUCCUAGUGUAGGAGUGAAAUCCGUAGAUAUUAGGAGGAACACCGGUGGCGAAGGCGGCUACCUGGACCGAUAUUGACGCUGAGACGCGAAAGCGUGGGGAGCAAACAGGAUUAGAUACCCUGGUAGUCCACGCCGUAAACAAUGAGUACUAGGUGUUGCGGGUAUUGACCCCUGCAGUGCCGCAGCUAACGCAUUAAGUACUCCGCCUGGGAAGUACGGUCGCAAGACUA